GACGAACGCUGGCGGCGUGCUUAACACAUGCAAGUCGAACGGAAAGGCCCUGCUUUUGUGGGGUGCUCGAGUGGCGAACGGGUGAGUAACACGUGAGUAACCUGCCCUUGACUUUGGGAUAACUUCAGGAAACUGGGGCUAAUACCGGAUAGGAGCUCCUGCUGCAUGGUGGGGGUUGGAAAGUUUCGGCGGUUGGGGAUGGACUCGCGGCUUAUCAGCUUGUUGGUGGGGUAGUGGCUUACCAAGGCUUUGACGGGGAGCCGGCCUGAGAGGGUGACCGGCCACAUUGGGACUGAGAUACGGCCCAGACUCCUACGGGAGGCAGCAGUGGGGAAUAUUGCACAAUGGGCGGAAGCCUGAUGCAGCAACGCCGCGUGCGGGAUGACGGCCUUCGGGUUGUAAACCGCUUUCGCCUGUGACGAAGCGUGAGUGACGGUAAUGGGUAAAGAAGCACCGGCUAACUACGUG
rnacentral:rRNA from 1 species